rnacentral:rRNA from 1 species
CAGCCGCCGCGGUAAUACGUAGGUGGCAAGCGUUGUCCAGAAUUAUUGGGCGUAAAGGGCUCGCAGGCGGUUUCUUAAGUCUGAUGUGAAAGCCCCCGGCUCAACCGGGGAGGGUCAUUGGAAACUGGGAAACUUGAGUGCAGAAGAGGAGAGUGGAAUUCCACGUGUAGCGGUGAAAUGCGUAGAGAUGUGGAGGAACACCAGUGGCGAAGGCGACUCUCUGGUCUGUAACUGACGCUGAGGAGCGAAAGCGUGGGGAGCGAACAGGAUUAGAUACCCCCGUAGUCCCUGUCUCUUAUAC